rnacentral:tRNA from 1 species
GCCCGGUUAGCUCAGUCGGUAGAGCAUCAGACUUUUAAUCUGAGGGCCGUGGGUUCAAGUCCCACAUCGGGCG